UACGUAGGGGGCGAGCGUUGUCCGGAAUCAUUGGGCGUAAGCGCGUGUAGGCGGCCCGGUAAGUCCGCUGUGAAAGUCCAGGGCUCAACCCUGGGAUGCCGGUGGAUACUGGCGGGCUUGAAUCCGGGAGAGGGAUGCGGGAAUUCCAGGUGUAGCGGUGAAAUGCGUAGAUAUCUGGAGGAACACCGGUGGCGAAGGCGGCAUCCUGGACCGGCAUUGACGCUGAGGCGCGAAAGCU
rnacentral:rRNA from 1 species